rnacentral:rRNA from 1 species
UACGAAGGGGGGCUAGCGUUGCUCGGAAUCACUGGGCGUAAAGCGCACGUAGGCGGCUUUCUAAGUCAGGGGUGAAAUCCUGGAGCUCAACUCCAGAACUGCCUUUGAUACUGGAGAGCUUGAGUCCGGAAGAGGUGAGUGGAACUCCGAGUGUAGAGGUGAAAUUCGUAGAUAUUCGGAAGAACACCAGUGGCGAAGGCGGCUCACUGGUCCGGUACUGACGCUGAGGUGCGAAAGCGUGGGGAGCAAACAGG